UUCGCAAUGCCCGAAAGGGUGACGAAGCGACGCCGCGUGAGCGAAGAAGGCCCUAGGGUUGUAAAGCUCUGUCAAGGGUUAUGAAAUGUAGAUGGGUUAAUACCCCAUUUAUUUGACAAAGGCCCAAAAGGAAGUCACGGCUAACUCUGUGCCAGCAGCCGCGGUAAUACAGAGGUGGCAAGCGUUGUUCGGUAUUAUUGGGCGUAAAGAGCACGUAGGUGGUUUUGUAAGUCAGGUGUGAAAGCCUUCUGUUCAAAGGAAGAACGGCAUCUGAAACUGCAGAUCUUGAGUGUAGGAGGGGAGAGUGGAACUUCUGGUGGAGCGGUGAAAUGCGUAGAUAUCAGAAGGAACGUCGGCGGCGAAAGCGACUCUCUGGCCUAUUACUGACACUGAGGUGCGAAAGUUAGGGGAGCAAACGGGAUUAGAUACCCCGGUAGUCCUAACCGUAAACGAUGGGCACUAAGUAGAGGGGUUUU
rnacentral:rRNA from 1 species